rnacentral:lncRNA from 1 species
CACUAUCCAGAACCUCCACUCUUUCAACCCCUCUGCUGAUGCAAGUAACAGUGAUGACCUGCUUCCUGCUGGCACUGAGGACUGUAUCCAUAUAAGAAUUCAACAGAGGUGGCAGGAAAACGCUUACUGCUGUCCUGCAAGAGAUCAGUGAUGAUUACGAUAAAAAGAAACUAGUGAAGGUGUUUAAGAAGAAAUUUAGGCCGAAUGAUACUGUAAUUGAGCAUCCAGAAUAUGGGAGAAGUAAUUCAGCUACAGAGUGACCAGUGCAAGAACAUUUGCCAGUUCCUUGUAGACACUGGACUGACUAAGGAGGAUCAUGUGAAGGGUCAAGGGU